rnacentral:lncRNA from 1 species
GAUUUAGAACAAUAUAACACUUGAGAACAACAACACUUAAAAAUGAAAUAGAGGAACACCACAUGAGAAUGCAAUAUAGUUGCAGCAUCAUAUCCACCAACAAUCUGAUAGCAAUAUAGUAGCACCAAAAAGGAGAUAUCAACACCUGAAAAAUGCAUAGAUAAGCACUUGGAUAAGGCUAAACUACCAUUAACAUUGAACACAUAUUAGCACUCAAAAUAAGCUAAAUUACCAGUGAUUCAUUUUAACUUUGUGUUUGUUGAGAGUAUAUCCAACCAGAAUCUAUAUCAACUACUUCUU